rnacentral:rRNA from 1 species
CCUACGGGAGGCAGCAGUGGGGGAUAUUGCUCAAUGGGGGCAACCCUGAUGCAGCGACGCCGCGUGGGUGAAGAAGCGUUUCUGCAUGUUAAGCCCUUUCGGCAGGGAAGCACAGAACGCGAUACCUCGUGUAUAAGCCACGGCUAACUACGUUCCAUCAGCCGCGGUAAUGCGUGGGGCGCAGGCGAUGUCGGGAUUUACUGGGUGUAAAGGGCGUGCAGCCGGGAAGACAAGUCAGAUGUGAAAUCCCGCGGCUCAAACGCGGAACUGCAUUUGAAACUGGUUUUCUUGAGUACCGGAGAGGUAAUCGGAAUUCCUUGUGUAGCGGUGAAAUGCGUAGAUAUCAGGAAGAACACCAGUGGCGAAGGCGGAAGACUGGACGGCAACUGACGGUGAGGCGCGAAAGCGUGGGGAGCAAACAGGAUUAGAUACCCGUGUAGUC